UAAAUUGUAACAACACACAAGGCCUUGUUUAAGACCUGCUGUAAAAUUUUUGGAGACCCUGUCCUUCAUUGGGCAGGGA
rnacentral:snRNA from 14 species